UGGGGAAUUUUGGACAAUGGGCGAAAGCCUGAUCCAGCAAUGCCGCGUGUGUGAAGAAGGCCUUCGGGUUGUAAAGCACUUUUGUCCGGAAAGAAAUCCUUGGCUCUAAUACAGUCGGGGGAUGACGGUACCGGAAGAAUAAGCACCGGCUAACUACGUGCCAGCAGCCGCGGUAAUACGUAGGGUGCAAGCGUUAAUCGGAAUUACUGGGCGUAAAGCGUGCGCAGGCGGUUUGCUAAGACCGAUGUGAAAUCCCCGGGCUCAACCUGGGAACUGCAUUGGUGACUGGCAUGCUAGAGUAUGGCAGAGGGGGGUAGAAUUCCACGUGUAGCAGUGAAAUGCGUAGAGAUGUGGAGGAAUACCGAUGGCGAAGGCAGCCCCCUGGGCCAAUACUGACGCUCAUGCACGAAAGCGUGGGGAGCAAACAGGAUUAGAUACCCUGGUAGUCCACGCCCUAAACGAUGUCAACUAGUUGUUGGGGAUUCAUUUCCUUAGUAACGUAGCUAACGCGUGAAGUUGACCGCCUGGGGAGUACGGUCGCAAGAUUAAAACUUAAAUGAAUUGACGGGGUCAUAGCUGUUUCCU
rnacentral:rRNA from 1 species